UAGAGUUUGAUCCUGGCUCAGGAUGAACGCUAGCGGCAGGCUUAACACAUGCAAGUCGAGGGGCAGCGCGAGAGUAGCAAUACUUUUGGCGGCGACCGGCGCAAGGGUGCGUAACGCGUGAGUAACAUGCCCGUAUCAGGGGGAUAAGCGAUGGAAACGUCGUCUAAUACCGCAUAACAACAGAAGUGGCAUCACUUCAGUUUGAAAAUUACGAUGGAUACGGAUUGGCUCGCGAGACAUUAGUUAGUUGGCGGGGUAACGGCCCACCUAGCCCACGAUCAGUAGGGGUUCUGAGAGGAAGGUCCCCCACAUUGGAACUGAGACACGGUCCAAACUCCUACGGGAGGCAGCAGUGAGGAAUAUUGGUCAAUGGACGGAAGUCUGAACCAGCCAAGUAGCGUGCAGGAUGACGGCCCUAUGGGUUGUAAACUGCUUUUAUGUGGGAAUAAAGUUCGGGACGUGUCCCGUUUUGCAUGUACCACAUGAAUAAGGACCGGCUAAUUCCGUGCCAGCAGCCGCGGUAAUACGGAAGGUCCGGGCGUUAUCCGGAUUUAUUGGGUUUAAAGGGAGCGUAGGCGGCCUUUUAAGCGUGUUGUGAAAUGUCCUGGCUCAACCAGGGCACUGCAGCGCGAACUGGAGGGCUUGAGUGCGCAGGAAGUAGGCGGAAUUCGUCGUGUAGCGGUGAAAUGCUUAGAUAUGACGAAGAACUCCGAUUGCGAAGGCAGCUUACUGUAGCGUAACUGACGCUGAUGCUCGAAAGUGCGGGUAUCGAACAGGAUUAGAUACCCUGGUAGUCCGCACGGUAAACGAUGGAUGCUCGCUGUGUGCCUCCGGGUAGGCGGCUAAGGGGUAACCAUUAAGCAUCCCACCUGGGGAGUACGCCGGCAACGGUGAAACUCAAAGGAAUUGACGGGGGCCCGCACAAGCGGAGGAACAUGUGGUUUAAUUCGAUGAUACGCGAGGAACCUUACCCGGGCUUGAACUGCAGGUGAACGAUUCAGAGAUGAUGAGGUCCUUCGGGACACCUGUGGAGGUGCUGCAUGGUUGUCGUCAGCUCGUGCCGUGAGGUGUCGGCUUAAGUGCCAUAACGAGCGCAACCCCUGUCCUUAGUUGCCAUCACUUCGGGUGGGCACUCUGGGGAUACUGCCACCGUAAGGUGCGAGGAAGGUGGGGAUGACGUCAAAUCAGCACGGCCCUUACGUCCGGGGCUACACACGUGUUACAAUGGCGUGUACAGAGAGUCGGUCGUAUGCAAAUACGGUCUAAUCAACAAAACACGUCUCAGUUCGGAUUGGGGUCUGCAACCCGACCCCAUGAAGCUGGAUUCGCUAGUAAUCGCGCAUCAGCCAUGGCGCGGUGAAUACGUUCCCGGGCCUUGCACUCACCGCCCGUCA
rnacentral:rRNA from 1 species